ACUAAUAUUCCCCUUUUCCUCUCCAACUAAGCGUCAGGCUUGUGCUAGGAGUAGGUACGACAAUAGUGCAACGGGCGGGGUUCGAACCAUCGACCUUUCGGUUUUCAGUCCACUCCCUUACCGGUUGUGCUAUUGAGGCUCAUUAAAUCCAGUAAAGUUGUUAAA